UACGGAGGAUGCAAGCGUUAUCCGGAAUGAUUGGGCGUAAAGCGUCCGCAGGUGGCUAUGUAAGUCUGCUGUCAAAGCGUCUGGCUCAACCAGAUAAAGGCAGUGGAAACUACAUAGCUAGAGUAAGGUAGGGGUAGAGGGAAUUCCCAGUGUAGCGGUGAAAUGCGUAGAGAUCAGGAAGAACACCGGUGGCGAAGGCGCUCUGCUAGGCCGCAACUGACACUGAGGGACGAAAGCUAGGGGAGCGAAUGGG
rnacentral:rRNA from 1 species